GGGCGGGGCCAGUGGAGGGGCGGAUCCCUCCAACCUGACGGCCAAACGUUUCCUAGACGUUGUCGUUACUGAUAAGAAACUACAUUUCCCAGAAUGCAGUGAGGGUAGCGACCGGGCUACACAGGUGAUGAAGGGGGGAACUGCAUCCUGGGAUCCGCAGUUUCGCCUGUCCACCCGCCAAAUCCUAAGAGUGGCUGAGCGCAGUUAUUGGGGAGUGGUAGUAGAAACAGGGUUUCACCAUGUUGGCCAUGCUGGUCUCGAACUCCAGAACUCAAGUGAUCCGUCCGCCUCGGUCUUCCAAACUGCUGGGAUUACAGGCGUGAGCCACCGCGCCCAGCCUUUGGGGAAGUUCUUUUUACCGUCCAUCAUCCAUUGCCACCACACCUUCUGCUUACGAGUUAUUUAUAAUAAGUUUAACUAAAAGAGAACGAGAGAACAUCCCCUGAAACCCAAAGUUUGUCAUUCUAUACAGCUUUCCUGCCUGCAAAAGAGGAGGAGCAGACUCAUCCAGCAAAUCACCUAAAAAGUUUGAAGAUCAAAAAGCCUAGCUCCAGUUUCAGAUCCUUCCCCUACCUUUCUGAACACUAGUUUCUUCCUCUGAAAAACGAAAGAGGGAACGGGACCGUAGAGUGGAGUGGGCACAAGAAUCGCAAGUCCCUUCUGGCUAUGACGCUGCAAGACUCUAGGUACAGUUUAGGACUCCGGGCAUUCAGAUCCCCGGGACUUGUCAAGUUCUCCUCAUUGACAUUUUUGAUAUUUCGUGACAACACAAAUUCAUCACAUUUUUGUGCUGUGUGUUAUAUGUGGGAAGGAGAUUUUAAAAAGAUUGCCUUUUGAAGUUAUUGGAUAGCUGUGUUACAGAAGAAAACAUUGCCUUCAAGAAGUUAUUGGAUAGAUAUGUUACAGAAGAAAAGACGUUUGUUUCAUUUUUGACUUUGCAGGAAAAGAAUAUGUAACACAUCAGAAUUCUUCUCUCCUCCCUGGCCUUAGUCGAGUACCUGAGGGGCAUUAAAGCACUUCCUCCUUGCAAUCACUUACCCAGCAUAGUCCUUAAUACAGAUAUCUUCAUUGUUGAAUGAAUGAAUGAAUGUUCAUUAUGUUUGAUUACCUUAGGUUUACUUUCCAAAAGUGUCUUACUUGAGGAAGACCACAUCUACACAAAAAAAUCAAACUUUAAAACAGAUUUAAUAUGAAAUUUAAUAGCCUGGAUCAGAAAAAUGUAGGCAAGAAAUUUGGAUAUGGUACCAGCGAUAACGAUAAAUUUGCAUUCCUAUAGAAUCCUUUCUCUUCAAGACUAUAACUUUAUCAGAUUCCUGAAGAGAUUGCCAAGAACUGAACAGGGCAGCAAACCUAAAACAGAUGUAAACCAACCAGAUGCAAACGUCUGUGGGGGCAAACCUCUUUGCCAUCUCCUUUCCCUUCCUGUCUUGAUCUGUGCUCAAUUCCUGGAAAAGCCCCUACUCAGGAUCUCCUAAAGUCUCCAGUAGCAUGUUUUCCCCCACCAUUAAAAUUACUUCUCUCUAUCAAAUGUCUUUUAAUUAUGCUGAGAGACAAGAAUUUAACGUUGCUUAAGAAAACUAAUUUGUACUAUCUCUAUGUCAAAUACAGUUUAAAUAUAUUAAAAACUCCUGUUUAAAUUGUAUAGCACUCAGAAACUAAAAACUAAGCAGUGAUGUCCUAAUCAAGGAUUGUAUAGUUUUUUUUUUUUUUACUACUCCAGGAAUAGGGACUUCCUGUUACUCACAUAUACAUCUGUGGUUUUCCUUUUGAGUAUUCUUUACAAAAAGUUGGAGUCCACCUGCUACGUCAAAAUGAAUAAGAGGUUCUUGC
rnacentral:lncRNA from 1 species